rnacentral:tRNA from 1 species
AGGCCCCGGCGCAGGUUAAUGCACAUCAAUGAGCUUGCAACUCACCAUGAAUUUCACCACAGAGCC